rnacentral:rRNA from 1 species
GACGAACGCUGGCGGCGUGCCUAACACAUGCAAGUCGAGCGAGUUGAUUCUCUUCGGAGAUGAAGCUAGCGGCGGACGGUGAGUAACACGUGGGCAACCUGCCUCAUAGAGGGGAAUAGCCUCCGAAAGGGAGAUUAAUACCGCAUAAGAUUGUAGCUUCGCAUGAAGUAGCAAUUAAAGGAGCAAUCCGCUAUGAGAUGGGGCCCCGCGGCGACAUUAGCUAGUUGGUGAGGUAACGGCUCACCAAGGCGACGAUGCGUAGCCGACCUGAGAGGGUGAUCGGCCACAUUGGGACUGAGACACCGGGCCCAGUACUCCUACGGGGAGGCAGCUAGUGGGGGAAUAUUGCACAAUGGGGGAAACCCUGAUGCAGCAACGCC